rnacentral:rRNA from 1 species
AUUGAACGCUGGCGGAAUGCUUUACACAUGCAAGUCGAGCGGCAGCGCGGGGCAACCUGGCGGCGAGCGGCGAACGGGUGAGUAAUACAUCGGAACAUGUCCAUUUGUGGGGGAUAGCCCGGCGAAAGCCGGAUUAAUACCGCAUGAGCCCGAGAGGGGAAAGUGGGGGACCGCAAGGCCUCACGCGAAUGGGUUGGCCGAUGUCCGAUUAGCUAGUUGGUGGGGUAAAGGCUCACCAAGGCGAUGAUCGGUAGCCGGUCUGAGAGGAUGAUCAGCCACACUGGGACUGAGACACGGCCCAGACUCCUACGGGAGGCAGCAGUGGGGAAUUUUGGACAAUGGGGGAAACCCUGAUCCAGCCAUUCCGCGUGAGUGAAGAAGGCCUUCGGGUUGUAAAGCUCUUUUGUCCGGAGCGAAACGGUUGUGGUGAAUAUCCACGACUACUGACGGUACCGGAAGAAUAAGCACCGGCUAACUACGUGCCAGCAGCCGCCGUAAAAC